AGCAAAUCAGCUGAAGCCAUUAGCGCGGUAUGCUUCAAAAGUUUCGAAGCCUGGGCCGCUUCGGACCGUAUAAUGCCCUUAACAACGGUGUAGGAAUCUUUGGAUAUUGCAUCGAAUGCCCCGAGCUCAUCAGCGUCCAGACAGCUUGAAAUCCCUCAAGUUCUCGGCGCUCAAUGAGAUCAACAAGGAAAACUGCCGCCGUAUGACUUCCACUAGCGGCGGUGCAAUCGACGAAUAAGUCCCUGUUGGCCAAAAAUCGUAAACACAUACAUAUGUUUUCUGCCAGAUUUCACGCAGUUGACUUUCAUCGAGACGUGAUAUAAUUUGACUGAUGAUACUGAGUUUCUUGGAAAUGUCGUCCUCCGAUAUUGUUGAUUCCGCAAGAGUUUGCCCAACCUCUUGAAGGGCUUCAAACACGGCUUCCACGUCUUUGGCACUACAGAGUUAAUGUUCGACAUUUGAAUGUUUUUGUUUUCGCCGUUAACUGACAUGAAACGAACCUAGCCGCAGUUGGGUCUUCUUCAAAAGAAAAAGUCAAGUCGUCUAUGACUUGCGGCUGCGAUAAAGAUGUUUUCAACUUUAUAGGCCCGGAGAAAAUCAAUUCACCGAUUCCUUCCAUGCGGACAACCGUCAUUUUCUCCGACGAUUCACCACAAGCCAAAUACUUAAUGGGAGCCGAGUGAUUCGCAGCGUCGUGAAGCAAUCCCCCGUCACUCCGUCCUUUAUUAGCAUGAGAUUGAGUUAUGGCGUCGUGACAAACUUGAUUAACGUGGAUUAAUUACCUCCAACGAGCUCAGCGCUGGAGCAUUGCGCUCUCCAAAAACACCUCCGUCUAAACCGGAACGAACGCCGGAGACGUCCAGUUGGAGAUUCGAGGCGACGGCUUUUUUCAUAUUGACGGACCAUGUCGGCUCUUCACUCUCCACUACCAGCAAAAGUACUGAGGAGGUGAAGUGAAUCGCCGAUGGCCUCUUUCUCUCCGUCAGCUAGCCCAACCGGAAGCAAAAUCGGAUCAGGAGCCCUGCCAUUGCUGCUGCUGUAAUUGCCAUCGCGCGUGACCCGUAUCUCGGACAUCUGCCAUCAGUCGAAGAUCAUAAGAAAUAGCCGGCAUUACAAUACGCUUUGUGAGCUCGCUCGUCAACUUUGAGUUACACAUCAAAGGACAACUUUUCCAUCUGCACAAUAAUAAGCUAGGUACCUU
rnacentral:lncRNA from 1 species